rnacentral:lncRNA from 1 species
GAUAGAAAAGUGACUCCGAGUGUAACGCCCCAAAUCCCUAUAUCCUUGAUAAAAUUAUUUUUGUGUGUUUGUGGCGUGAAAAUAUGUCUGGCUUAGUGGUUGUGUGCUUUAGCAGUGUCUGGGAAGUCAUGGGUUCAAGCCUUGCCUUCCACAAAAAUUGUGCUUUUAAGGAUAAAACCCCCAUUUUAGGUCAGUAGGGUUAUAAGUAAAAUUUGUUAAAAACAUGACAGAAUGGGUCUGCUGGUAUAGUGGAUAGUGGCAUGUGAAGUGUGCUAGUGGUCUGAGGUUCGAAUCCCUAUUUUUGCAAAUAGAGAUCAUUUUUAUUGAUGGCUAUGGGAGGAAGUUGUGUUUGACCGAAACAUU